GAUGAACGCUGGCUACAGGCUUAACACAUGCAAGUCGAGGGGAAACGACAUCGAAAGCUUGCUUUUGAUGGGCGUCGACCGGCGCACGGGUGAGUAACGCGUAUCCAACCUGCCCAUCACUUGGGAAUAACCUUGCGAAAGUAAGACUAAUACCCAAUGACAUCCCACGAAGACAUCUGAAUGGGAUUAAAGAUUUAUCGGUGAUGGAUGGGGAUGCGUCUGAUUAGCUUGUUGGCGGGGUAACGGCCCACCAAGGCAACGAUCAGUAGGGGUUCUGAGAGGAAGGUCCCCCACAUGGGAGCUGAGACACGGUCCAAACUCCUACGGGAGGCAGCAGUGAGGAAUAUUGGUCAAUGGGCGAGAGCCUGAACCAGCCAAGUAGCGUGCAGGAUGACGGCACUAUGGGUUGUAAACUGCUUUUAUAAGGGAAUAAAGUGGAUCUCGGGAGACUUUUUGCAUGUACCUUAUGAAUAAGGACAGGCUAAUUCCGUG
rnacentral:rRNA from 1 species